GCAAGUAUCCCUUGCAAGUGCAACUAGACUGAGGAUGGAAAUGGAAAGCAGAAUCGUCACACGUCACAACUGACCACUGCUGUCCAAAAGCAUCUUCUUGAGGCCGGGGAGAUGAUUUCGAAGAAAAGUGCUUGCCAAGGCAGCAUGAGAAAGGCAUGGAAACCUGUCUAUAAUCCCAGUGCUCAGGAGGCGGAGAUCCCAGGGACAAAGAGGCUACUAGACUAGCCAAACUGGUGGACUGUCUGCAUCAAUGUAAAAGGCCAGCAAUCCCAGAGAUGAAAGAUUAACUCAACCCUGCCCUGAACAAAAGACAAAAGUCCACUGAUCAGCAUGGAUGGCUCAGCCACACCUGGACCCUCACAAGCUCAUGCCACCACCUACAGGCCAAAUGUAAUCUGCUACUCCUCCUUGUGGUGUCCAAGAACAGGCUUAGCAUAUCCACACUGUUCUAUCACCAAGGCCCCCUCACUGCUGACCAGAGUCUGCCUCCUGGCUACACCCUGAAGAGUCUGCUCUGCGGGGCCUCAGUCUGUGGGACUGACUGAUGGGACACGAUCUGCACCUAUGGGCUGAAGGGCAGCAAAACCGUAAGUGAAGAAGAAAUGCAACCGUUUUCCACAGCACCAGCAAACCCGGAAAAGAGCCUGUUGGCUACCAGAGGUCCUGUCACUCCUCCAGCCUUUCAGGCUAACUGAACCUGUGUCACCACUGACAUGAUACCGCGCUCCUCACAAGUGUCCUGGCCUCUAAAAGGAUUUGCUGGAAGUCAACUUGGUGCUGAGUGCAAGCUCCAGGGCACUAGCCUAACACACUGGCCCACGGAGAACAUACGGUGGAGAGCCAGGCUCCAGACAACGCUGACACAGGAGAAUCUCUGCCUUCCAAGCCAUCCAGACCAGGCCUGCCUUUGCCCUGUGCUUAAGCUGCCCAGGAGAACACAGGCCAGAGAAGGAAAUGGUCCAGUGCAAGCUCUGGUGCCAGUCUAAGGACGUGUUUACUGUUUGUGUUUCUUUUCUAAUACCAAGGAUAGAACCCAGGGCCUUCACAUGCCAGGCAAAGGCUCUACCCCUGAGCCAUGCCACCAGCCCUAGAAGGGGUUUCAUAAGCAGGCAUAUCACUGCAGGAUCCUUCAGCCACACUGAUUCUCGCUCCACACCACUCUCCUCUUACGAGACCCACAUACACCGAGGAUGAAAAUACAAAAUUCUUGUCUGAA